UACGGAGGGUGCAAGCGUUAUCCGGAUUUACUGGGUUUAAAGGGUGCGCAGGCGGAUAUGUAAGUCAGUGGUGAAAUCUCCGGGCUUAACCCGGAAAUUGCCGUUGAUACUAUAUAUCUUGAAUGCUGUGGAGGUAAGCAGAAUAUGUCAUGUAGCGGUGAAAUGCUUAGAUAUGACAUAGAAUACCUAUUGCGAAGGCAGCUUACUACGCAGAUAUUGACGCUCAUGCACGAAAGCGUGGGGAGCAAACAGG
rnacentral:rRNA from 1 species